AUGAAUGUCAGACCCAUUCUAAGACUGGCUUGCAGCUCUGUUUUUGGUUCAACUUCAUGUUUUACUGAUAUACUUGUUCAACACAUACCUGAUGAUGAGGAGGACAUGACUGUAACGAAGUUGUGGGUUUAUCAAGCUCGUGAAAGGAUACCAAUAGCUGAGGCCCUUCCCGGUUGCAAUUUACGAUUUCUGAGUUGCCCUUUGCUAUAUGUUGGACUUGUGAUGCUUGUUGGGCUUGUACACAUUAUUCUGAUUUUACUAUCUUACUGA